rnacentral:rRNA from 1 species
GACGAACGCUGGCGGCGUGCUUAACACAUGCAAGUCGAACGGAAAGGCCCUGCUUUUGUGGGGUGCUCGAGUGGCGAACGGGUGAGUAACACGUGAGUAACCUGCCCUUGACUUUGGGAUAACUUCAGGAAACUGGGGCUAAUACCGGAUAGGAGCUCCUGCUGCAUGGUGGGGGUUGGAAAGUUUCGGCGGUUGGGGAUGGACUCGCGGCUUAUCAGCUUGUUGGUGGGGUAGUGGCUUACCAAGGCUUUGACGGGUAGCCGGCCUGAGAGGGUGACCGGCCACAUGGGGACUGAGAUACGGCGCAGACUCCUACGGGAGGCAGCAGGGGGGAAUAUUGCACAAUGGGCGGAAGCCUGAGGCAGCAACGCCGCGUGCGUGAUGACGGCCUUCGGGGUGUAAACCGCUUUCGCCUGUUACGAAGCGGGAGUGACGGUAAUGGGUAAAGAAGCACCGGCUAACUACGUG